rnacentral:rRNA from 1 species
GAUGAACGCUGGCGGCGCGCCUAACACAUGCAAGUCGAACGGCACCCCUCUCCGGAGGGAAGCGAGUGGCGAACGGCUGAGUAACACGUGGAGAACCUGCCCCCUCCCCCGGGAUAGCCGCCCGAAAGGACGGGUAAUACCGGAUACCCCCGGGCGCCGCAUGGCGCCCGGGCUAAAGCCCCGACGGGAGGGGAUGGCUCCGCGGCCCAUCAGGUAGACGGCGGGGUGACGGCCCACCGUGCUGACAACGGGUAGCCGGGUUGAGAGACCGACCGGCCAGAUUGGGACUGAGACACGGCCCAGACUCCUACGGGAGGCAGCAGUGGGGAAUCUUGCGCAAUGGGGGGAACCCUGACGCAGCGACGCCGCGUGCGGGACGGAGGCCUUCGGGUCGUAAACCGCUUUCAGCAGGGAAGAGUCAAGACUGUACCUGCAGAAGAAGCCC